GCGCACCAGGCGAGAAUUUUUCUCAAUGGGGGCAACCCUGAAGGAGCGACGCCGCGUGGAGGAUGAAGGCUUUCGGGUUGUAAACUCCUGUCAUUUGAGAACAAGUGUAGCCAAAUAACUACUGGCUACUUGAUAGUAUCAGAAGAGGAAGGGACGGCUAACUCUGUGCCAGCAGCCGCGGUAAUACAGAGGUCCCAAGCGUUGUUCGGAUUCAUUGGGCGUAAAGGGUGCGUAGGUGGCGCCGUAAGUGGGGUGUGAAAUUUCGGAGCUUAACUCCGAAACUGCAUUCCAUACUGCGGUGCUUGAGGACUGGAGAGGAGACUGGAAUUCAUGGUGUAGCAGUGAAAUACGUAGAGAUCAUGAGGAAGACCAGUGGCGAAGGCGGGUCUCUGGACAGUUCCUGACACUGAGGCACGAAGGCUAGGGGAGCGAACGGGAUUAGAUACCCGGGUAGU
rnacentral:rRNA from 1 species